AAUCAACGCUGGCGGCGUGCCUCAGACAUGCAAGUCGAACGCGAAAGGUUCCUUCGGGAACCGAGUAGAGUGGCGCACGGGUGAGUAACACGUAGGUAAUUUGCCUUUGGGUGGGGAAUAACAGCCGGAAACGGCUGCUAAUACCGCAUAAUGCAGCGGCUCGACAUCGAGACAGUUGUUAAAGCGGGGGAUCGCAAGACCUCGCGCCUAAAGAGAAGCCUGCGGCAGAUAGCUAGUUGGUAGGGUAAUGGCCUACCAAGGCGACGAUCUGUAACCGGCCUGAGAGGGCGGUCGGUCACACUGACACUGACAUACGGGUCAGACUCCUACGGGAGGCAGCAGUCGGGAAUUUUGGG
rnacentral:rRNA from 1 species